GAUCAUGGCUCAGAACGAACGCUGGCGGCAGGCCUAACACAUGCAAGUCGAGCGAACCCUUCGGGGUUAGCGGCGGACGGGUUAGUAACGCGUGGGAAUAUACCCUUUGGUACGGAAUAGCCUCGGGAAACUGAGAGUAAUACCGUAUGUGCCCUUCGGGGGAAAGAUUUAUCGCCAAAGGAUUAGCCCGCGUUGGAUUAGAUAGUUGGUGGGGUAAUGGCCUACCAAGUCUACGAUCCAUAGCUGGUUUGAGAGGAUGAUCAGCAACACUGGGACUGAGACACGGCCCAGACUCCUACGGGAGGCGGCAGUGGGGAAUCUUAGACAAUGGGCGCAAGCCUGAUCUAGCCAUGCCGCGUGGACGAUGAAGGCCUUAGGGUUGUAAAGUCCUUUCAGAUGGGAAGAUAAUGACGGUACCAUCAGAAGAAGCCCCGGCUAACUCCGUG
rnacentral:rRNA from 1 species